rnacentral:tRNA from 1 species
GGCUCCGUAGCCAAGUGGCUAAGGCAGCGGAUUGCAAAUCCGCCAUCGUGGGUUCAACUCCCACCGGAGCCUC